UUUAUACCAAGUACAUAUGCACACAAAAAGGGCUCCCUAAGAGUACCUAGGACACUUUGGAUGCUAACACCUUCCCUCUGUGUAACCAACCCCCUUACUUGUAAUCUCUGACUUUUUAUUAGUUUUGAUUUGAAAACUUCUUACUUUUGGGUUUUGUUCGUACUUUUUCCCUUUUCCCUUGGAAACAAUAAAAGCGCGGUGGCGACUCUUGUUAU
rnacentral:lncRNA from 1 species